AGAGUUUGAUCCUGGCUCAGGAUGAACGCUAGCUACAGGCUUAACACAUGCAAGUCGAGGGGCAUCAGGAAGAAAGCUUGCUUUCUUUGCUGGCGACCGGCGCACGGGUGAGUAACACGUAUCCAACCUGCCCUUUACUCGGGGAUAGCCUUUCGAAAGAAAGAUUAAUACCCGAUAGGAUAAUCAUUCCGCAUGGUUUCAUUAUUAAAGGAUUCCGGUAAAGGAUGGGGAUGCGUUCCAUUAGGUUGUUGGUGAGGUAACGGCCCACCAAGCCUUCGAUGGAUAGGGGUUCUGAGAGGAAGGUCCCCCACAUUGGAACUGAGACACGGUCCAAACUCCUACGGGAGGCAGCAGUGAGGAAUAUUGGUCAAUGGGCGCGAGCCUGAACCAGCCAAGUAGCGUGAAGGAUGACUGCCCUAUGGGUUGUAAACUUCUUUUAUAUUAGAAUAAAGUGCAGUAUGUAUACUGUUUUGUAUGUAUAAUAUGAAUAAGGAUCGGCUAACUCCGUGCCAGCAGCCGCGGUAAUACGGAGGAUCCGAGCGUUAUCCGGAUUUAUUGGGUUUAAAGGGAGCGUAGGUGGACUGGUAAGUCAGUUGUGAAAGUUUGCGGCUCAACCGUAAAAUUGCAGUUGAUACUGUCAGUCUUGAGUACAGUAGAGGUGGGCGGAAUUCGUGGUGUAGCGGUGAAAUGCUUAGAUAUCACGAAGAACUCCGAUUGCGAAGGCAGCUCACUGGACUGCAACUGACACUGAUGCUCGAAAGUGUGGGUAUCAAACAGGAUUAGAUACCCUGGUAGUCCACACAGUAAACGAUGAAUACUCGCUGUUUGCGAUAUACAGUAAGCGGCCAAGCGAAAGCAUUAAGUAUUCCACCUGGGGAGUACGCCGGCAACGGUGAAACUCAAAGGAAUUGACGGGGGCCCGCACAAGCGGAGGAACAUGUGGUUUAAUUCGAUGAUACGCGAGGAACCUUACCCGGGCUUAAAUUGCAGUGGAAUGAUGUGGAAACAUGUCAGUGAGCAAUCA
rnacentral:rRNA from 1 species